CAGUAGCCGCGGUAAUACGAAGGGUGCAAGCGUUAAUCGGAAUUACUGGGCGUAAAGCGUGCGUAGGCGGUUUGUUAAGUCUGCUGUGAAAUCCCCGGGCUCAACCUGGGAAUAGCAGUGGAUACUGGCAAGCUAGAGUGUGUCAGAGGAUGGUGGAAUUCCCGGUGUAGCGGUGAAAUGCGUAGAGAUCGGGAGGAACAUCAGUGGCGAAGGCGGCCAUCUGGGACAACACUGACGCUGAGGCACGAAAGCGUGGGGAGCAAACAGGAUUAGAUACCCCCGUAGUCCCUGUCUCUUAUAC
rnacentral:rRNA from 1 species